rnacentral:rRNA from 1 species
UACGUAGGGUGCGAGCGUUGUCCGGAAUUAUUGGGCGUAAAGAGCUCGUAGGCGGUUUGUUGCGUCUAUCGUGAAAACCUGCAGCUUAACUGUGGGCUUGCGGUGGAUACGGGCAGACUUGAGUUCGGUAGGGGAGACUGGAAUUCCUGGUGUAGCGGUGAAAUGCGUAGAUAUCAGGAAGAACACCCGUGGCGAAGGCGGCUCUCUGGAACGCAACUGACGCUGAGACGCGAAAGCGUGGGGAGCAAACAGG